UACGGGAGGCAGCAGUGGGGAAUAUUGGACAAUGGGCGGAAGCCUGAUCCAGCCAUGCCGCGUGUGUGAAGAAGGCCUUUUGGUUGUAAAGCACUUUAAGCGAGGAGGAGGCUCUCCUAGUUAAUACCUAGGAAGAGUGGACGUUACUCGCAGAAUAAGCACCGGCUAACUCUGUGCCAGCAGCCGCGGUAAUACAGAGGGUGCGAGCGUUAAUCGGAUUUACUGGGCGUAAAGCGUGCGUAGGCGGCUGAUUAAGUCGGAUGUGAAAUCCCUGAGCUUAACUUAGGAAUUGCAUUCGAUACUGGUCAGCUAGAGUAUGGGAGAGGAUGGUAGAAUUCCAGGUGUAGCGGUGAAAUGCGUAGAGAUCUGGAGGAAUACCGAUGGGCGAAGGCAGCCAUCUGGCCUAAUACUGACGCUGAGGUACGAAAGCAUGGGGAAGCAAACAGGAUUAGAAUAACC
rnacentral:rRNA from 1 species